AUUUAAUUUCAAAUCGAAGUCGAGCGAGCUGAAUACCAGACCGAAUGCGAGCCGAACACAAACGGCGUGCUGAUCCACUACAACAGAAUUAGGUUAUAGGGACACAUGUUUGGGACACUUUUGAGUAAGUGUCCUAUUUAUGCUAAAACUUAAAAAUACAUCUACUAAUGCCUAAAUAUAAAGCCCAAUCCAACCAAAAAUAAAAGAUUACCCUACUCAACCCACCACACCCAGUCCAUUUGGUCUGAUUACAAACAGAAAAGAAAAAAAAAGAAAAAUCAAUUACCAUCUUUUCUUCUCUCUUCACUCAAUCCACUGAAAUUCUAGACGAAGAGCCUUUACUAUCGUCCUCCUCCGCCACCGCAGCCAACAAGAUAGAGUUUUGGCGGUUGCUAAAUGCUUAAAUAAGUGUUGGUAAAUUAGCAGCACUCUUUUAGGUUAUAGCGACACUCUUUAACUGUCACUAUAUACCUAGCGACCCCACAUAUAGCAACAUUUUUUAAAAGUGUCGGUAAUUUUAGCUAGCAGCACUUUUUUGACAUGUACCUACAUUUAAAAGUGUCGCUAUAGACCGUUUUUAUUGUAGUGGAUGAUUUGCCAGCCCUAAUAACGAUCGGGUUUCGAUGCAAUAGUUAUAUUCC
rnacentral:lncRNA from 1 species